rnacentral:rRNA from 1 species
UACGAAGGGGGCUAGCGUUGUUCGGAAUCACUGGGCGUAAAGCGCACGUAGGCGGAUUUUUAAGUCAGGGGUGAAAUCCCGAGGCUCAACCUCGGAACUGCCUUUGAUACUGGAGAUCUUGAGUCCGGAAGAGGUAAGUGGAACUGCGAGUGUAGAGGUGAAAUUCGUAGGAUAUUCGCAAGAACACCAGUGGCGAAGGCGGCUUACUGGUCCGGAACUGACGCUGAGGUGCGAAAGCGUGGGGAGCAAACAGG